GAUGAAGAACGUAGCGAAAUGCGAUAAGUAGUGUGAAUCGCAGAAUUCCGUGAAUCAUCGAAUCUUUGAACGCACAUUGCGCCCUGUGGUAUUCCGCAGGGCAUGCCUGUUCGAGCGUCAUUUCAACCCUCAAGCUCUGCUUGGUGUUGGGCCCUGCCCGCUGCGGCCGGCCCUAAAGACAGUGGCGGUGCCGCCUGGCCCUGAGCGUAGUACAUCUCUCGCUCCAGUGCCCGGUGGUAGCCUGCCAGAACCCCAACUCUCGUGGUUGACCUCGGAUCAGGUAGGGAUACCCGCUGAACUUAAGCAUAUCAAUAAGCGGAGGA
rnacentral:misc_RNA from 1 species